AACACUUCGGAAUUCAUCCUGCUGCUUUUGUCAGCAGUCACAUCAUCAAUAAAUACAAGAGAACCAGUUCCAUUGGCAGCCAUACAUGCCCACGCCAUGACACUACCACCACCAUGCUUCACUGAGGAGUUCAUUGACUGGUUGA